rnacentral:lncRNA from 12 species
GAUUCGCCCUGACGUCACGGGCCGCCCGCCAGCCCCGCGCUCGGGUGGGCAGAGCGCGUGCGGCCGCCGAGCACAUGGGCCCGCGGGCCGGGCGCGCUCGGGGCGGGCGGGGGGCCGCGCGCAGCCUCGGGCCCCCGCGCCCCCCGCGCCCCCGGGCGCAUUUCCACGCCGAGAGCGCGUCGGCAGCCCCGGCGACCUGCACACGCACGGCGGGACCCACCUUCCAGCCUGAUCUUUUGACCAGAAAGGGAUUAAAAAGUUGCCCAUCCUGAUGGCUGUGCCUGCCGGUUGCAUGGAGCCUCAUUCAGGAUUUCCUGAGCCUCUUGGAUUUACAGUGAUACUCAGCUGCGGGGAGUGGAGGAAGCAUUCUCUGGAAUCACAGACGGCACACGUCUGGAUGCUAAUGAUGGUUUUACGGAUGGCCCCGGCUGAGUGCUUGGCAGAUCCCUGCAGCCUGGAUGCCUGUGGGGUCAGAGGACCGCGGCUUCCUGGGACGGCGGAGGUCUCUGCCCUUAUCUUCAUGCAAAUGUUCAGUUGGGUUGCUGCUAGCCUCACUGAGGGCGCCCCGUGAAACAAUCCUGUCAUACCUCGGAUUUUGGUGCCUUCAGUCUGAAAAAUACACACAUCCAUUUGGUACCCUAGAGGAACUGGAGAAUUGUCUUCCCCUGAAUGAAGCUGGACCAUUCUGGGAUUUGGAGAAAGGGCACUGGCACCCUGGGAGCUGGAGAGAUGCAGCUGGAAGAGCCCGCGCCCGGGGCACGAGGGGUCCCAUGCCAUGUCACGGGCUUGUCCCCAGCUGCCACCGUGCUGAUGGCUUGGCCGCCACUGCUGCUUACUGA